rnacentral:tRNA from 1 species
AGGGGUGUAGUUCAAUGGUAGAACAUCGGACUUCAAAUCCGAGUGUUGUGGGUUCAAGUCCUGUCACCCCUG